GCGCCUUCGCGCGGCUCACUAGAGCGGCCUUGGCUUGGUCGGAGACCGCCGUGCGAUCGCCGCUCCCUCCUGUGGGUCCUGCGGGGGAGCCCCGGGCCAGAGCCGCCGACUUGUGACCCUGUGCAGCCACCUGUUGUGCCCCGGCCGAGAACUGCGGCUUCUCUAGGCCGGAAAGUUGCUGGCCGUUUGACGUAUUCUAGGGACCUCCGCAUCACCUGCCUGGAUCUGCAUGGAAACGUCUAACUGGGUUCAGGAGACAUCCAUAAACUGGCAGGAAUUUCCCAGCAACCUGAUACACAGGCGUUAUGAGAAUGAGUCCCAUGGCCUUUCCUACGCAAGUAGCACAGUCUGGAUUGCUAAUCUUCCAUGAUCUGCACUGCCCACUCACAAAGGACUGGCACCACUGCAAUGUUUAUUUAGUUUAUGUACCUAUUCAUCUAUCAUGUGACUGGACAAUGCACACAGUUAGCAGAUCUGAACAAACACCAUUAAAAUACAAUUAAAAGAACUAUAACAGAACACAACUGCAGGAGAGUGUAUUCAGAAAUGUGUAAACAACAUAAAUGUUCAGUGGGCUCUA